rnacentral:sRNA from 1 species
UUUUUUUUUUUUUGAGACUGGAUAAUAAAAAACAUCCCAGUUAGCUGGGACUACAGGCUCAUGCCACCUCUCCUGGCAUAGGGGAUUGUUUAAAAGAUUAUCUUCUAAUGUGUUCUCUCAAUAUGCCCAGCCCAGUGUGGAUACUGUUUUUUUACAGAGUAUUUAUUGAAUGCCAGGCUUAUUGAAAAGUUAGAAGUUUGGGUAUGUAAGUUUGGGUUGUAUCAAGAAAAACAAGUAAGCAGCCAGAGCUUUUUAAAGUUGAAAAAGUUCAUUUCCAUGAAUCUAACUGUAUUGUAUUCCUUUUGUGUUUUGUAUGUAUGCAUAGGAUUUUUAUAUUACUUUGGGAACAGGAUGUGUGUUUUUGUUGGCAUCCAUCAUUUUUGUUUCCACACAUGACAGGACUUCAGCUGAGAUUGCUGCAAUUGUGUUUGGAUUUAUAGCAAGUUUUAUGUUCCUACUUGACUUUGUCACUAUGCUGUAUGAAAAACGACAGGAGUCCCAGCUGAGAAAAUCUGAAAAUACCACUAGGGCUGAAGCCCUCACUGAGCCACUUAAUGCCUAAAGACUCUGGGGAGCAGAUGUUACCUAAGGUAGUGACCCUGCAUUGUGGUGCCUGAGCCCUGGCAGAAGCUCUUGUAAAAUUUGUUAAUUGUUUAAACCACUUCUUUUGGAGAGCAAAGGGAAGGUCAAGAAGGCAGUUUUAUCAAUAUUGUGUCAGUCACCACAAAGUAGGCCAGAUAAGUUAAAAAAAAAUUUUUUUUUAAAUAAUAAUUGAAACUUAUCU